UGUGUGUUAGUGGAAGCGUCUGGAAAGGCGCGCGAUACAGGGUGACAGCCCCGUACACAAAAAUGCACAUGCUGUGAGCUCGAUGAGUAGGGCGGGACACGUGGUAUCCUGUCUGAAUAUGGGGGGACCAUCCUCCAAGGCUAAAUACUCCUGACUGACCGAUAGUGAACCAGUACCGUGAGGGAAAGGCGAAAAGAACCCCGGCGAGGGGAGUGAAAAAGAACCUGAAACCGUGUACGUACAAGCAGUGGGAGCACGCUUAGGCGUGUGACUGCGUACCUUUUGUAUAAUGGGUCAGCGACUUAUAUUCUGUAGCAAGGUUAACCGAAUAGGGGAGCCGAAGGGAAACCGAGUCUUAACUGGGCGUUAAGUUGCAGGGUAUAGACCCGAAACCCGGUGAUCUAGCCAUGGGCAGGUUGAAGGUUGGGUAACACUAACUGGAGGACCGAACCGACUAAUGUUGAAAAAUUAGCGGAUGACUUGUGGCUGGGGGUGAAAGGCCAAUCAAACCGGGAGAUAGCUGGUUCUCCCCGAAAGCUAUUUAGGUAGCGCCUCGUGAAUUCAUCUCCGGGGGUAGAGCACUGUUUCGGCAAGGGGGUCAUCCCGACUUACCAACCCGAUGCAAACUGCGAAUACCGGAGAAUGUUAUCACGGGAGACACACGGCGGGUGCUAACGUCCGUCGUGAAGAGGGAAACAACCCAGACCGCCAGCUAAGGUCCCAAAGUCAUGGUUAAGUGGGAAACGAUGUGGGAAGGCCCAGACAGCCAGGAUGUUGGCUUAGAAGCAGCCAUCAUUUAAAGAAAGCGUAAUAGCUCACUGGUCGAGUCGGCCUGCGCGGAAGAUGUAACGGGGCUAAACCAUGCACCGAAGCUGCGGCAGCGACGCUGAUGCGUUGUUGGGUAGGGGAGCGUUCUGUAAGCCUGCGAAGGUGUGCUGUGAGGCAUGCUGGAGGUAUCAGAAGUGCGAAUGCUGACAUAAGUAACGAUAAAGCGGGUGAAAAGCCCGCUCGCCGGAAGACCAAGGGUUCCUGUCCAACGUUAAUCGGGGCAGGGUGAGUCGACCCCUAAGGCGAGGCCGAAAGGCGUAGUCGAUGGGAAACAGGUUAAUAUUCCUGUACUUGGUGUUACUGCGAAGGGGGGACGGAGAAGGCUAUGUUGGCCGGGCGACGGUUGUCCCGGUUUAAGCGUGUAGGCUGGUUUUCCAGGCAAAUCCGGAAAAUCAAGGCUGAGGCGUGAUGACGAGGCACUACGGUGCUGAAGCAACAAAUGCCCUGCUUCCAGGAAAAGCCUCUAAGCAUCAGGUAACAUCAAAUCGUACCCCAAACCGACACAGGUGGUCAGGUAGAGAAUACCAAGGCGCUUGAGAGAACUCGGGUGAAGGAACUAGGCAAAAUGGUGCCGUAACUUCGGGAGAA
rnacentral:rRNA from 1 species